rnacentral:rRNA from 2 species
UAGAGUUUGAUUCCCUGCUCAGGACGAACGCUGGCGGCGUGCCUAAUACAUGCAAGUCGAGCGGACAUCUUAAAAGCUUGCUUUUAAGAUGUCAGCGGCGGACGGGUGAGUAACACGUGGGCAACCUGCCUGUAAGACUGGGAUAACUUCGGGAAACCGGAGCUAAUACCGGAUAAUAUAAGGAACCUCCUGGUUCUUUAUUGAAAGAUGGUUUCGGCUAUCACUUACAGAUGGGCCCGCGGCGCAUUAGCUAGUUGGUGAGGUAAUGGCUCACCAAGGCGACGAUGCGUAGCCGACCUGAGAGGGUGAUCGGCCACACUGGGACUGAGACACGGCCCAGACUCCUACGGGAGGCAGCAGUAGGGAAUCUUCCACAAUGGACGAAAGUCUGAUGGAGCAACGCCGCGUGAGCGAUGAAGGCCUUCGGGUCGUAAAGCUCUGUUGUUAGGGAAGAACAAGUGCGAGAGUAACUGCUCGCACCUGAC